rnacentral:lncRNA from 1 species
GUAGAAGUUCGCCCAGUUAACCCCCGCUCCGCGAGAGUGGGGCUGAUCGCUCCCGCCGGCUCCCGCUGGGAACAGAACUGCAACGAAGUCUUUGUAGAUUUUAUCCAGUCCACGUCCCUCGUCGCCGACGUACUUGGUCGGGUUGUCACUUGGGCUGUUUGCAAACAGCUGCGUGGCGCAUUCCGCCGCGUCGCUGACGGAGAUCCGCUUCCGGACAGCCAUUCUUUGGCAGGACACCCCAUUCCAUUGCCCCCAGUGGACGUUCUUCAGACCGUGCUCCGGACAUGCGGUUGCAUGGUCGAGUCGCGCGUAGGCACUUCCCCAGACGAGGCCGCUGUCCACGGACUUCUUCGGAUUGAAGCAGUACCAACUCAGGUCUGGACCCGAAUCGCCGUUUUUGCAGUACGUUCCGGCGCCCGUCAUCUCCUGCAUGUUCAGAUACAUGAUGUGGCACGUGGAGUUUUUCGCGUCGUACGCAAAGGCGUAUCGGUAGUAGUCUUCUUUCGACAUGUUCACGGCCGCCGCAUCCGAGUCAUGCACGGAAGUCAUUCGUGCCCACCAGAUGCAGUAGCCCAAGUCGUCUUUGAUGUCCUUUACGAACUUCUUGGCGUAAUCCGAAGCGUCGGGCUUUUUGUCAAACGUUUGCGCGUGGUACUUCAGCUCAUCGAGCGAUUUCGGACUGAUUACAGUCAUGGGCAUAGCAAAUCCUCCUCCGAGCGGUUUCGUGUCUUGCGCGGAUUUCGCGUAGGGCACAGGCUUCAAGAAGUUGUUCGGCCAGAUUUCUGCGUUCCUCGUUGGCUGGUGGGUUUCGAUGUACUUGCCAAAGUUCGGGCACAAGCCUCCGGGCUCGCGGUAGUUCUUGCCGUGGAGCCGCUUGGUGUUCCCGAGGUCGACGUACACGCCAGAACCUGACGCACAACCGCAGAGAGCGAAAGAGCCGGAAACGAAACACCAGAGCGUGACGUUCUACUCGUUCGUAGAGCCCCUCACUUCCUCGUGGGAAACGGAAUGCUCAAGAACCCUGCGUGACGAGCUGUUAUCGGCGCCGCUUACGAGGUUUCUGCCCCGUUUGCUCCCCCGGACAGCCCGAGAGCGCACCUGCAGAGAGGUACCGCUCGCGAGGGUGUCCGAAGAGCUCGAUCACACAAAAGCGUGGACGGGGCCGGUGCUUUCGUCGCCGGCGGGUCUUUCUGUCUCGUCCAAAUCCAAUCUGCCACUGACAAAGGUGGAGAGAGCGCUGUGUGUGUGUGGAAUCGGCGCGCGAUCUCGGGACCGUGCAGGAUCGCACCGGCACGCACUGGCAACCAAAGGACGGUAAGACUACGCCAGGAGAGCCGGGUUCCCUGACGAAGGGAUGUGCGUCAGGUGCGUCCACGCGCCGUCGCUCGAGCCUCGCGUUGCUGCGGUGCCGGCACACAUCCGCUCGCAGGGACAAAACGUGGAGACGAAAGGCUCUGUGUUGCGAUUCCUACCACUCACCGUGCACCAGAGGGACGUUGUAUUUCUCCAGGAGGCCGGCCCAUGGAUUGAUUUCGGGGGUUGCUGCCGUCUCUGCGAGAGCGAGUCUGGAGGGACGAGGAAGACGAUCCACAUUGAGUGCGUCAGAGCUGCACGAGUGGGCAAGCAGCACGAGGACGACUGGCCGCAAGGUCCGCCAGGACAGCAGGGAGACGAUCGCUGCCAUGUUGACUGAAGCGUUCAGGCGAGCGAGGACCAGCAGGGGCGCCAAGAAGAGGCGGACGGGCGCGGAACGUUCUGGGAAGGCGCGACUCUGGCUGCUCAGGCGACGGCCGACUCGACCGCUGUUCGGAACCGGUGUGUGCCUGAGCAAUUCCCCGCCGGCGGUGUGAUCGCUAGAGAGAAACGGAGGAAAGGCUGGCUGGGAAGCCUUCGGCAAGACAGCGAAGCUCGCAACUGGGAAUUCCCCAGUGCUCUUUCACGUUUCCGGGGCAGAGAGAACGGGGCCUCGAGGGCGGCGGACGGUUCCGACUGCUGACUCCGCGAAAGGGGAAAGUUGAGGACUAAGUCCCUGUAGACUGGAGAAGGCGUUGACGAGAAACGUGUGUCCGAUGCAAACAGAAGGCUGUGUCGGGUUCGGAAAAGCCGAAGGCUUCGGGAGAAGCUGCGCGGCACAAGACCUCCGGGGCCGUUUUCUUCAUGGCUGCCUCUGCAGCCCAAAAGUUAGGUUCGCGCCGUGACCGUCUGAACUGCCUGAGGGUUCCGCGCUGCGCCGAGGGGAAGAACAGACACAAGGAUGAAGAAUGCAGCCCUGUCACACACGACAAGGACGAAACGCCAGGAAACAAACCCUUUCCUGUGAAAAGGCAGGGAAACAGACGCACACACUUGAGUUUUUUCCGCCUCGCGCGGGCGUCGCGGCGCCCGCGCUCACUGCUCGCCCAACGACUCGGCGCGGAUCGAUUGUCCCUCGGCGCCGUGUCACUGGUAGCGGUCCGCGUGCGCCGUGAGCGACACACGACCCCGAGAGGGAGAGAGAGUCUCUCCGAGCAGCGAGUGUCCGUGUCGCCUGAUUCCCUGCACUUUUCGCUUUGCACGGCGUGGAUCUGCGCUGGAGUUUCCGGCAGACCAAAGGGAAACCAAAUGCGGAAGACCGGAGGAGGCGACUUCUAGGAAUGCACACCGCGCCUCACUCUCACAGGGGGAACGGAAAAAGCCAGCUCCACUCUGGCGUGGCACAGUCGUCAGCAGCGGCUGCGAACGAGUAUACGGGGCUUCUGACCUCGCCAAAAUUUAGCACGGAAGCGGGAAUCCCGUGUUGGUGGGAAGCCAGAUGGCAACCAGACACAAAACCUGAUUUCUAGUCCUCGAAACGGCCGCCAAGCACCCCCGCCUGUCGCUCCCCGCCACUUUCCCCGUUUCCCUCUAUGCAGUUGAGCGAGCCUUGCCGACGGACUGCCGGUUGGGACCGCUGGCAAGCUUGUGUGUGCCGAGAAGAGAGCGUAGGCGACGCAGUUGCGGCCGGAUUCUUUCCAUCUGAGUGAGCCGAACACACGCGGCGAUUCAGCUUUUCCAAGGCAGUGGAACACAGCUGCCUUCACCGCGUGGACGAAACCAGGUGCCCGUCGCGCAGGCUCAAGUCACUCUCCACGCUGCCGCCUCGGAAGUCGUCUAGCUUCGGUUUCGAAUCGCAUAGCCACUACAGUGUACUCCCGGCGGCGCAUACUGUGGAAGGUUUGGUUGAAGCGGAGUCAUCCCGGAAGCGUCUCAUUUCAGCGUUCUUCAGGGUCAGCAGCUGUUUUCUCAGGCUUUUUAGUAGAGCUCCUGAGGCCGUCCGUGUACACAACACAGUCACUGCACCGAUGGCCUAUGGUGCCAGCAUUCUCUGGAUCGCAGGUUUUUUAGACAGAAGUGCAUGUCGCUUAUGGAAAGUGGAAGCACUGGUUUCCAUGCUGAUGUUUGUCGUGCUCAUGUAGACAGUACACUCGGGGCGUAUGGGCAAUUCAGGCACGAAUCUCCCGAGUGCGGAACUGGCUGGGGGGAGGCAGUCCACCGGACAUCGACAAAGCUUUCGAAGCCGAGCAGCGGAAACACAGUUUCAAGAUUUAACCUGGAAAUACACUUUUUGCGCU